ACGAACGCUGGCGGCGUGCUUCACCCCUGCCAGUCGAACGAAGAGCGAUGGAAGCUUGCUUCUAUCAAUCUUAGUGGCGAACGGGUGAGUAACGCGUAAUCAACCUGCCCUUCAGAGGGGGACAACAGUUGGAAACGACUGCUAAUACCGCAUACGAUCUAAUCUCGGCAUCGAGGAAAGAUGAAAGGUGGCCUCUAUUUAUAAGCUAUCACUGAAGGAGGGGAUUGCGUCUGAUUAGCUAGUUGGAGGGGUAACGGCCCACCAAGGCGAUGAUCAGUAGCCGGUCUGAGAGGAUGAACGGCCACAUUGGGACUGAGACACGGCCCAGACUCCUACGGGAGGCAGCAGUGGGGAAUCUUCCGCAAUGGACGAAAGUCUGACGGAGCAACGCCGCGUGAGUGAUGACGGCCUUCGGGUUGUAAAGCUCUGUUAAUCGGGACGAAAGGCCUUCUUGCGAACAGUUAGAAGGAUUGACGGUACCGGAAUAGAAAGCCACGGCUAACUACGUG
rnacentral:rRNA from 1 species